GAUCCUACGGGACGCAGCAGUGGGGAAUAUUGCACAAUGGGGGAAACCCUGAUGCAGCGACGCCGCGUGAAGGAAGAAGUAUUUCGGUAUGUAAACUUCUAUCAGCAGGGAAGAAAAUGACGGUACCUGACUAAGAAGCCCCGGCUAACUACGUGCCAGCAGCCGCGGUAAUACGUAGGUGGCGAGCGUUAUCCGGAAUGAUUGGGCGUAAAGGGUGCGCAGGCGGUCCUGCAAGUCUGGAGUGAAACGCAUGAGCUCAACUCAUGCAUGGCUUUGGAAACUGGAGGGCUG
rnacentral:rRNA from 1 species